GACGAACGCUGGCGGCGUGCUUAACACAUGCAAGUCGAACGGAAAGGCCCUGCUUUUGUGGGGUGCUCGAGUGGCGAACGGGUGAGUAACACGUGAGUAACCUGCCCUUGCCUUUGGGAUAACUUCAGGAAACUGGAGCUAAUACCGGAUAGGAGCUCCUGCUGCAUGGUGGGGGUUGGAAAGUUUCGGCGGUUGGGGAUGGACUCUCGGCUUAUCAGCUUGUUGGUGGGGUAGUGGCUUACCAAGGCUUUGACGGGUAGCCGGCCUGAGCGGGUGACCGGCCACAUUGGGACUGAGAUACGGCCCAGACUCCUACGGGAGUCAGCAGUGGGGAAUAUUGUACUAUGGGCGGAAGCCGUAUGCAGCAACGCCGCGUGCGGGAUGACGGCCUUCCGGUUGUAAACCGCUUUCGCCUGGGACGAAGCGUGAGUGACGGUAAUUGGUAAAGAAGCACCGGCUAACUACGUG
rnacentral:rRNA from 1 species